rnacentral:misc_RNA from 1 species
UGCGUGGUGUCGCAGGGCCCAGUAGUACCACCUCCCCCUCUGCGUGUGUGUGAGGGAGGAAGCCCAGCAGCCCCCUACCUAACCCUUGCCAGUGCCGAACCACCUGUGGUGGUGACAGGGUCAGGAGCCUAAGACGUGGGGAGGACGGGGCGAUGCAUGGCCGCUGAUAUCGGCGGUCAAGUCCUGGACGGCGUGGCGUCGGAGCCACCUGCGGCAGCGAACACGUGUGCACCAUGCAUAUGAUAGGCAGAGUGCCAGCGUGACUCGGACGCGUCUCACCCGGCCCUCUGGCUGUCUACUGGUGGGGCGCCUGAGUGCCACUCCGAAGGUUAUGUACCGGAUGGGGACCUGCCCAAUGGGAGCGGCUGCCAGGCAACUUGCGAUGCGGGUGACUAGAGUUUGAGGCAGCUACCGUUCUCGAAGGAUUGAGUCGGCGCAUUGCUGUAGCGGCGUGUCUACGGCUGCUGCGCACUACGCGAUGGGGCCGGUGACAGGCCCGGAUAGAGUGUCGUUUAACUGAUGCCGUACAGCAGAAUAGACACGUCGAAACAAAGGAAAAAAUCGUUGUUGGCUGCGACCACGCUCUCAGCACGCACGCAUCAUCAAUGCAUCACCCCCGCUGCGUUUCCCGACUGUCGAAGCGCCUAGUGCUCACAACUCCUGAUCGACCCCCUUCCCUUGUGCUUCUUGGCUCAUCAUCAUCACGGCCGCGUGCCUCAUACCACCAAGAGCACCGCCGGCUGUUUUUGACAUACUCUCCUCUCCGCCUUUCUCCCCCCUCUUACCGCCACCAG